UAAAUUGUCACCAAUAAAUGAAGUUUCAUUCAAUUUUAAAUGUGAUAUUAGCUAUUUGUUUAUCGAAAACAGUCUCUAUUGAUUUCGAAUUACCCCUCAAUGGUCAUGGACUUGGCUCAGAUGAUCGCAAUAUAUCUAUGGUUAAUGGAAGAAUUGUGGACAUAAUCCAUGGAUUCAACAGUCCCCCUCGGUUGUUCUACGUGAGACUGAAACGGAUAUCUGGGUUUUGUGGGGGGACAAUUAUUAGCGCCCGAUGGGUACUGACUUCAGGCCACUGUGUUUUUCAGCUAAGGCUUUCAGCUGGUGCGUUUCGGGUGCAAGUGCAAGACUUCUCAGACACUGAAGCAAAUCCAGAAGAAAAAGAGGUCAUAAAAGUCAUUCUUCAUCCUGGCUUUCGUGUUUAUAACUGGGCUCCUAAUUACGACUUAGCUUUGCUUAAGCUUCGUACACCAGUAGACGAGAAAAGAGUGAUCCAAAUGUGUCUUUCGGAUCAAUUGAACGAGGGACCCUUGGUGACGAUUCUUGGCUCCU